CGGAGGGUGCGAGCGUUGUCCGGAAUCACUGGGCGUAAAGGGCGCGUAGGCGGCCUGGUAAGUAGGGGGUGAAAUCCUGCGGCUUAACCGCAGGGCUGCCUUCUAAACUGUCAGGCUCGAGCACGGUAGAGGCAGAUGGAAUUCCCGGUGUAGCGGUGGAAUGCGUAGAGAUCGGGAAGAACAUCAGUGGCGAAGGCGGUCUGCUGGGCCGUUGCUGACGCUGAGGCGCGACAGCGGUGGGGAGCAAACAGGAUUAGAUACCCUGGUAGUCCACGCCGUAAACGAUGGGCACUAGGCGUCGGGGGGAGCGACCCUCCCGGUGCCGUCGCUAACGCAGUAAGUGCCCCGCCGUGGGGAGUACGGCCGCAAGGCUG
rnacentral:rRNA from 1 species